GGACCGUGAAACGACUUUGCGCCGAUGAUAGUGCGGAUACCCGUGUGAAAGUAGGUCAUCGCCAGGC
rnacentral:rRNA from 1 species